UCUACCUCUUCAUCAGCUGAAAUGAAAAGCAAUCCUUUCCCACGACAACCGAUCGGACUGCGAGUAUCGCAGGAACAAUUUCUACCAAACCAGGCACUCUAGCAUUGGUAACUUGGUGGCGACAUGAUCGGAAUUCUGUUGUUAAAAAAGCUUGACCAAAAAUUCACCGAAUCCUUGUGUGGAGAUGAACACGUGAACCCUAAAAGGUAUCAUCAUGUCUGCAGCUUGAUAUGAAGCAACUGCUCAUAUAGUUGUCACGGUUUCUCCACUAGUGUGGCUUGGCGGCGAAAGAUUGGUGGUUUGGUGAGAUAUGAGGGUAUAAAUGUGAAGGUGGGAAGCAGACCCUGGAACACUCUAACCCUUUCCAAAUGUGGAAGUGUGAGUGAAAGGCGCAUGUACAAGACCCUGAAGGUUGUCAAGAAGCAUGAAGCAACCGCUCAUCUAGUUGUCACGGUUUCUCCACUGAUGUUGAUUGGCAGCGAACGAUGGUGGUGGUUUGGUGAGAUAUGAGGGUAUAAAUGUGAAGGUG
rnacentral:lncRNA from 1 species